rnacentral:rRNA from 1 species
GGGUUGUGAGGUUAAGCGACUAAGCGUACACGGUGGAUGCCCUGGCAGUCAGAGGCGAUGAAGGACGUGCUAAUCUGCGAUAAGCGUCGGUAAGGUGAUAUGAACCGUUAUAACCGGCGAUUUCCGAAUGGGGAAACCCAGUGUGUUUCGACACACUAUCAUUAACUGAAUCCAUAGGUUAAUGAGGCGAACCGGGGGAACUGAAACAUCUAAGUACCCCGAGGAAAAGAAAUCAACCGAGAUUCCCCCAGUAGCGGCGAGCGAACGGGGAGCAGCCCAGAGCCUGAAUCAGUGUGUGUGUUAGUGGAAGCGUCUGGAAAGGCGCGCGAUACAGGGUGACAGCCCCGUACACAAAAAUGCACAUGCUGUGAGCUCGAUGAGUAGGGCGGGACACGUGGUAUCCUGUCUGAAUAUGGGGGGACCAUCCUCCAAGGCUAAAUACUCCUGACUGACCGAUAGUGAACCAGUACCGUGAGGGAAAGGCGAAAAGAACCCCGGCGAGGGGAGUGAAAAAGAACCUGAAACCGUGUACGUACAAGCAGUGGGAGCACGCUUAGGCGUGUGACUGCGUACCUUUUGUAUAAUGGGUCAGCGACUUAUAUUCUGUAGCAAGGUUAACCGAAUAGGGGAGCCGAAGGGAAACCGAGUCUUAACUGGGCGUUAAGUUGCAGGGUAUAGACCCGAAACCCGGUGAUCUAGCCAUGGGCAGGUUGAAGGUUGGGUAACACUAACUGGAGGACCGAACCGACUAAUGUUGAAAAAUUAGCGGAUGACUUGUGGCUGGGGGUGAAAGGCCAAUCAAACCGGGAGAUAGCUGGUUCUCCCCGAAAGCUAUUUAGGUAGCGCCUCGUGAAUUCAUCUCCGGGGGUAGAGCACUGUUUCGGCAAGGGGGUCAUCCCGACUUACCAACCCGAUGCAAACUGCGAAUACCGGAGAAUGUUAUCACGGGAGACACACGGCGGGUGCUAACGUCCGUCGUGAAGAGGGAAACAACCCAGACCGCCAGCUAAGGUCCCAAAGUCAUGGUUAAGUGGGAAACGAUGUGGGAAGGCCCAGACAGCCAGGAUGUUGGCUUAGAAGCAGCCAUCAUUUAAAGAAAGCGUAAUAGCUCACUGGUCGAGUCGGCCUGCGCGGAAGAUGUAACGGGGCUAAACCAUGCACCGAAGCUGCGGCAGCGACGCUUAUGCGUUGUUGGGUAGGGGAGCGUUCUGUAAGCCUGUGAAGGUGUACUGUGAGGUAUGCUGGAGGUAUCAGAAGUGCGAAUGCUGACAUAAGUAACGAUAAAGCGGGUGAAAAGCCCGCUCGCCGGAAGACCAAGGGUUCCUGUCCAACGUUAAUCGGGGCAGGGUGAGUCGACCCCUAAGGCGAGGCCGAAAGGCGUAGUCGAUGGGAAACAGGUUAAUAUUCCUGUACUUGGUGUUACUGCGAAGGGGGGACGGAGAAGGCUAUGUUGGCCGGGCGACGGUUGUCCCGGUUUAAGCGUGUAGGCUGGUUUUCCAGGCAAAUCCGGAAAAUCAAGGCUGAGGCGUGAUGACGAGGCACUACGGUGCUGAAGCAACAAAUGCCCUGCUUCCAGGAAAAGCCUCUAAGCAUCAGGUAACAUCAAAUCGUACCCCAAACCGACACAGGUGGUCAGGUAGAGAAUACCAAGGCGCUUGAGAGAACUCGGGUGAAGGAACUAGGCAAAAUGGUGCCGUAACUUCGGGAGAAGGCACGCUGAUAUGUAGGUGAAGUGAUUUACUCAUGGAGCUGAAAUCAGUCGAAGAUACCAGCUGGCUGCAACUGUUUAUUAAAAACACAGCACUGUGCAAACACGAAAGUGGACGUAUACGGUGUGACGCCUGCCCGGUGCCGGAAGGUUAAUUGAUGGGGUCAGCGCAAGCGAAGCUCUUGAUCGAAGCCCCGGUAAACGGCGGCCGUAACUAUAACGGUCCUAAGGUAGCGAAAUUCCUUGUCGGGUAAGUUCCGACCUGCACGAAUGGCGUAAUGAUGGCCAGGCUGUCUCCACCCGAGACUCAGUGAAAUUGAACUCGCUGUGAAGAUGCAGUGUACCCGCGGCAAGACGGAAAGACCCCGUGAACCUUUACUAUAGCUUGACACUGAACAUUGAGCCUUGAUGUGUAGGAUAGGUGGGAGGCUUUGAAGUGUGGACGCCAGUCUGCAUGGAGCCGACCUUGAAAUACCACCCUUUAAUGUUUGAUGUUCUAACGUGGACCCGUAAUCCGGGUUGCGGACAGUGUCUGGUGGGUAGUUUGACUGGGGCGGUCUCCUCCUAAAGAGUAACGGAGGAGCACGAAGGUUGGCUAAUCCUGGUCGGACAUCAGGAGGUUAGUGCAAUGGCAUAAGCCAGCUUGACUGCGAGCGUGACGGCGCGAGCAGGUGCGAAAGCAGGUCAUAGUGAUCCGGUGGUUCUGAAUGGAAGGGCCAUCGCUCAACGGAUAAAAGGUACUCCGGGGAUAACAGGCUGAUACCGCCCAAGAGUUCAUAUCGACGGCGGUGUUUGGCACCUCGAUGUCGGCUCAUCACAUCCUGGGGCUGAAGUAGGUCCCAAGGGUAUGGCUGUUCGCCAUUUAAAGUGGUACGCGAGCUGGGUUUAGAACGUCGUGAGACAGUUCGGUCCCUAUCUGCCGUGGGCGCUGGAGAACUGAGGGGGGCUGCUCCUAGUACGAGAGGACCGGAGUGGACGCAUCACUGGUGUUCGGGUUGUCAUGCCAAUGGCACUGCCCGGUAGCUAAAUGCGGAAGAGAUAAGUGCUGAAAGCAUCUAAGCACGAAACUUGCCCCGAGAUGAGUUCUCCCUGACCCUUUAAGGGUCCUGAAGGAACGUUGAAGACGACGACGUUGAUAGGCCGGGUGUGUAAGCGCAGCGAUGCGUUGAGCUAACCGGUACUAAUGAACCGUGAGGCUUAACCUUACAACGCCGAAGCUGUU